rnacentral:rRNA from 1 species
UUGCACGCUGGCGGCAUGCUUUACCCCUGCAAGUCGCACGGUAACAGGCCGCAAGGUGCUGACGAGUGGCGAACGGGUGAGUAAUGCAUCGGAACGUGCCCAGUCGUGGGGGAUAACUACUCGAAAGAGUAGCUAAUACCGCAUACGAUCUAUGGAUGAAAGCGGGGGACCGUAAGGCCUCGCGCGAUUGGAGCGGCCGAUGUCAGAUUAGGUAGUUGGUGGGGUAAAGGCUCACCAAGCCAACGAUCUGUAGCUGGUCUGAGAGGACGACCAGCCACACUGGGACUGAGACACGGCCCAGACUCCUACGGGAGGCAGCAGUGGGGAAUUUUGGACAAUGGGCGCAAGCCUGAUCCAGCAAUGCCGCGUGCAGGAAGAAGGCCUUCGGGUUGUAAACUGCUUUUGUACGGAACGAAACGGCUCUGGUUAAUACCCGGGGCUAAUGACGGUACCGUAAGAAUAAGCACCGGCUAACUACGUG